UGAGCCCCACUAUUCAAGACCUUUCGGAUU
rnacentral:piRNA from 1 species